AUGUUUUGGCUUUUGCAUUUUGCUUUUGAAUUUUGUUUCUAUUUUCUCACUAAUGACGCAAAAUGCUCUGCGAACUUCAUUAAUUGUUUUAUAAAUAUGCAGAAUUAAUUAAUUUAAAAUGCUAUUAAUUACACUUUAAUAACUCACUUGAAACAAAGAAAGUAAUCAUAGAGGCAACACGAGUUCGUUCUAAGCCAGCAUUGGAGAAGACUUUCGAAAGUGGCAUUAGAAAGGCCAAAUAAUGCAGCUGCUAGCUGCCAGCUGAAUACAAUUAAAUAAUAAGCACUAAAGAAGAAUUAAAAGUUAUGCAUAUGCAAAUGCAUAAACAUUUACUCGUGGCAUAUUUUUAACCGAUGAUGACUGCGAAUUUAGCUGCGCAAAAGAACCGAUAAUCAAAAUAGAAAUCUCAGCCUGAUGUCAUGCAUGGAUUAAAAGAACAAUCGAGCAAGCCGUCAAUCUCCUUGAACUCUGAGUCAGUUCGUUGUGAAAUACCCAAGGAUCCGGGGUUUUAUUUUUUUUCGCAAUUUGCUUGUAGAAGCUGUAAAUAGCUUAUACCAAUUUUCCAGUUGCACUAUUUAACAGCAAUAAUAAAAAGAACUCGAAGCAAUUUUAAUUACUUCGAAAAUGGUUUGCACCGCCUCCACCGCGUCAAGAUUGAAUGCGCCUCCGGGCAACACAAAAAAAGUGAUGCUUUACUGCCGUUGGAUGCAGUUCGAUGCUGACCAACUCGACACGCAUCAUUUUAUGCGUCUGUUUUGAGUUAAUUAAGUCGCCAGGUGUUUUCGCCAGUUUACAAUUCUCUCUGCAGCAGUUCCACAUUCCCAAUCCAUGGCCCUUGACUUUGAGCAGGGAACAUGGAAGUGGCCUAGUUAUCCGCAGCCACGAAAUUGGGGUUUCAAAGCAAAAGGCAUGACGCCAACGCCACCGUCAAGCAACGUGUCAACGCUGUCAGCUUAAAGAGCCGACAAAUGGGCAGAGGACAAAAUGUUUGUUGUUAAGCUGUGAAAUUUGCAAAAUAGAUUCGCAACAGUUAAGCAGAUAAAAGCCGAAACAAUGAACUCUAUGCGUGGGUCAGCAACAGCAACAAAAAAACAUAGAAAACCCACUUCUCUAACGCCCAAAGAUACAAAUGUAUCUAUGUAUCUUUGUAUCUUUUGCGUAUGUGUGCGCACGCUUAGCCGAGUUCUAAUUAGCAAUGCUAGGCACAGUUUGGUAUUUGCUUUGUGCACAAGCAAAAAUGUCAGCUGUGGCAGCAGCAGCAACAACAACAACACAGCAAACUCGACUCGACGACUUCAAACAUACAAAUUAGAGCAAAUAGUUACAUACAAAUAACAAAUUGCCCAGCGCAUGGUAACAAAAGUACCGUUACAAUCGCCAGCUUGAGAACUUUUCUAAAAAAAAAAAAAUAGAAAAAAGCAUUGCAAAACUAGUCGGGAAUGGGAAUGAAAGGGGUUCGAUUUUAUGAGUGCCUCAAAAACGCUUCACUAGGUGAAAAGUGAAUGGCAACUGAGACGUUCCAAUCUAUUUUUGAGUAGCCCAAAAAAACAACAGACAAGCAAAAAUACAAAACAGAACUCUGUCUGAGGCGUGAGCAAAAUUCGAAAAGAGCUUCAAUGCACCUCUAAAAAAAAGGGUUUCCAAUUACUGUGCGAAUCGAGUAGCUCGGGAUUAUUAUGAAAUUAUGAAAUUAAUGCAAUCAGUCAGACUUUUGGCAAAUUGACCUUGACAGCGGCACAUUCAAAUUCAUUGUGACUCUCUCUCUCUCUCUCUCUCUCUCUCUCUCUUUCUCUCUGUCACUCGUGCGUAAAAAUCAUGUCAAUAGAAAAGUCAUUAAUAAGCUUCGCUUGUCUAUGAAUGGGGCAUCGCAGCUAGGCGUGAGUUGUUCCCCCUUUCAGCCCCCGCCCUCGCCUUCAGCGUGGGUGCCUCGACCGUUGUCCAUUGUGUUGGCCAAUUAGCAGCUGUCAAAUGUUGUUGACUCUUCGACUUCGACAUUUUUUUUUUUCGUUUUUGUUUUCGGUUUGGCCCUGACACUGAGGAAGAGCCUCACGAGCACACAUUUGACAGCUGCACUUGAAAUGGAUUUUGAUUUGGAGUCGUUUGGAAAGCGCUUCGAAACAUUAAUUUGGCGAUGGGUGAUGACGAUGCCCAAGUUAAGUGCAGCGCCUGCAUCGCUUAAGCUCUUAAUGAGACAGCGAUCAUUUUUUCAUUUUUUUCAAUUUUUUUUUGUUGUCCAUAGUGUGGCAUUCAAAGGAGCUCAGACCAGAGACCGAGAGAGAACCAACACCAACACACAUCCAUUAAGCUCUGGCAUUUGAUGCGGCCGUUGAACCUUCAAAUAGACCUUAACGAAAGAGAAAAACACACUGAGAACACACGCCAAGAUGCCAAGAAUGGAAAAAAGGCGAUGUGAAACAAACGAAAAUAAGUUACACAAAUGAAAACUGGUUUGGAUUUGGCGAACUUAGAACCCUAAAUCAUCAACAAAACAACUCUUACUCAUAUUAAUAACAAACACACAAAAAAAAUACACAAUAAUAAAAGAAUACAUCAAAAAAUAUUGCGCUAGUUGAGUCUAUGAGAAGCCGCAGUGCGCUAUAUGAUGAGCAUGGGAAUUCAAUAUAGGAUAUGGAACAUGGAAAUGAAACAUGGAAAUAUAGAACAAGGAAUGAAAUAAGGAAAUAUAGAACAUAGAAUGAAACAUGAAAAUAUGAAAUAAUAUAAGGGAAGGAAUAAAAUUUGGAAAUAUAGAACGUUGUGGAAUAAAAUAUGGAAAUGUAGAUCAUGGAAUAAAAUAUGAAAAUACAGAAUAUGGAACGAAAUAUGGAAAUGUAGAUGAUAUAAAUAAAGAAUAUGAAAUGACACAUGGAAUGAAGUUUGGAAAUAUAGAAUAUGGAAUGAAAUAUGGAAAAAAAGAACAUGGAAUGAAAUAUGGAAAUAAAGAACAUAAAAUGAAACCUCAUAAUAAAGACUGGAAUGAAACUUAAAAAUAAAGAACAUGGAAUGAAACAUGGAAAUAUAUUACAUGAAAUGAAUCAUGGAAAAAUAGAACACGGAAUGAAACAUGGAAAGGUAGAACACGAAAUGAAUCAUGGAAAAAUAGAAGAUGGAAUGAAACAUGAAAAUAUAAGAGAAGGAAUGAAAUUUGGAAAUAUAAAACGUUGUGGAAUUAAAUAUGGAAAUGUAGAAUAUGGAGUAAAAUGUGGAAAUAUAGAAUAUGGAAUGAAAUAUGGAAAUGUAGAAGAUGAAAAUAAAGAAUAUGGAAUGAAGUAUGGAAAUAAAUAACAUGUAAUGAAUCAUGGAAAUGUAGAACAUGGAAUGAAACAUGGAAAUGUAAAACAUGAAAUGAAUCAUGGAAAAAUAGAACACGGAAUGAAACAUGGAAAGGUAGAACACGAAAUGAAUCAUGGAAAUAUAAAACACGAAAUGAAAUAUGAAAAUAAAGAACAUAAAUGAAAUGUGGGAAUAAAGAACAUGGAAUGAAACAUGUGAAUAUAGAAGAUGAAUUGAAUCAUGGAAAUAUAGAACAGGGAAUGAAAUAUGGCAACCAAAGAAAAGAACACACAAUAGAACAUAGACUAAUGGGUAACAUGGAAUGUGUCGAAUAAAAUUUGUAACAAAUUAUAGAACAAGCAAAGAACAUAAUUCAUUCUGAGAACAUAAAAUACAACUUUGCCAUGGUAACAAAGUUCCUUAGCGUAUGCUAAUGCCCUUGACAGUCACCUUACACUUGACAACUUAAUGCCAAUGUUUCGGCGUGUAAUCAUUAUGGGAAUCACUAAAGCGGAUUCUAAUGGCGUCUGGCAAACGGAAAUUGUAUUGAAAAUCGCCUUAACCUCCGCCACAAGCUUGCCACAAAGUGCCUUGCAUACGAGAGCGAGUGCCACAAAACCCAGACCAAUAUUCUAAGGCCGCUGAUGCCGCGCUGUUGAUUUGUCGAUUUGUGCGAUGCCAAAAGCAGAUUUCAUAGAUCGCCAAAUACAAUUGAAGUCGUGCGCGAGCGAUGAUUGAAUGUGAACAGAGAUCACAGAUCUGUGAGGCUGAGGAAGCCUUGAAGCAUUUUUGCAGAAAACUCUAUCGUCAAAUUCAAUUAAACUUAAAUACUUGUCGAAUCAAUUUGCCUCAUAACUUUUUCAUAUAUACACAUUUUCAAAACACACUUACCCCCGGUAUAUUUGUUUUGCAUUGAGCCCGGUUUAUUUAUCUGCGAUCGAAGCAACCGAAAUUCAAAGUUGAACGCCGAUCAUCAUCAAUAUAUUUUAUUUCUCGCAUUGUUUGCGGCUAUUGUGUGAACGUACUGCGGCUAAUUGCUUCCUUGAAAGUUGAAGUGAGGGAGACGGAAAUCGGAAGUGCAACUCUCUUUAGUUGUCCCUUGGCUUUGGGCAUAAACGUUGGCAAUUUGGGGACGUGACAGCCGAAAGCAAAGCUCGACACAUUCGCGCACGCGCAACGCGAAAAUUUACGAGACUGUGGCAAAUGGGCGACAAAUUAUGCCAAAUGAAAAGAGGCGUGACCACAUUGGCAUUUAUGCUCAUUUGGCUUGCCUUGGAAAUGCUCUGAGCAGCGUUAAAUUCACUGAAAACGGUAGUCGAAACACCUAGAGACCGACAGACCGACAGAGCGGGAGAUCUACGAGCUCGUAGGUGUUAGUUGAUUUAUUCGCGCAUUUUGGCUGCCGUUUCUAAUGCGACAAUUAGAAACGGCAGUCGGCAGUCGCCAGUUAGCCAGAUUCCUUAACCACUUGGCUGAUUUAUGGCGCCGCAUGUAUUUCACGAAGCUAUUUGGGCAUUUGGCACACUUACAGACACACAGUUAAA